rnacentral:lncRNA from 1 species
GUUAUAUUUGAGAUAUAAUGGGCAAUAUUUAAGAAUUUUCGCAGUGGAUGUGUAAUAAAACAGAAUAAUUACAUUCGCAAUAUUUGCUGUAAUAUUUGUUGUUUCACUGAUUUGUGUUGUGAUCUAUCUGUAUUCGAGUUAGAAGAAUCCGUCAACUGUUCCUGGUUUGAAUCCUGCAUCUAAAGAAGCUGGUUACCUCGGAGACAUUGCGAAGGCCGGAAGUCUGCAUGAGUUCUUGUUGGAUCUUCACAAGCAGUUCGGAUCAAUAGCCUCAUUUUGGUGGGGACCACGUUAUGUUGUCAGCAUUGCUAAUGCAGACUUGUUUAAACAGCAUCAUAAUGUAUUUGACAGGCCACCGGAAUUAUUUGAGUUGUUUGAGCCGCUGAUUGGAGCAAAGUGUAUCCAGUAUGCUAAAG